AAAACACACAACAAUGGGGUCCAUGGCAUUUUCAGAGAACUGGUGUGGUUCUUGUUGGAGAAAUUCUCUCUCAAAACAAGAGUCCAAUGGCUGAGACUCUUGGUGAUAAAUAGCUUGCUGUGACAGAGGAACCAUCCUGCUCCCCCACCCCAGUGUCGGAAAAUUAUUUACCAUCCCAUCAGCUGAAGUACCGAAGACAUGUUCUGUUUGAAUUAACUGGGGGAAGAGGGACUCGUGUCAGUCAGCGGGCUGCGAUGAUGGCAGCCGCAGUCUCACGAGGCAGACAAGAAAGAGACAGCAUUAUCCCUGGCGUCCUUGCCCAACUGAUUGGUGCUUUUAGGCCCAGAAUCAAAGCAGGAAGAAGGAGAAGAUCCCAGCAGCAGAGCGGAGGGAUCCUCACAGGACCACAUUUCAUCCUCUCAGAAGAGCCUGUCACCCUGACAUGUUACUGA
rnacentral:lncRNA from 1 species